UUAGAAAUCAUCUGGGCAUCUUGUUAAAAAUGCAGAUUUUAAUUUAAUUAAGUAGAUCUGGGGUGCAUCUGAAAUUCUGCAUUCCAAACAAGCUUCCAGGAAAUUUUGAU
rnacentral:miRNA from 1 species